rnacentral:snRNA from 1 species
AUCACUUCUCGGCCUUUUGGCUAAGAUCAAGUGUAGUAUCUGUUCUUAUCAGUUUAAAAGUGCAUCAGACUUAUACAGGAGUGCUACUAUUUUAUUUUGCCAAAUAACACUAUUUUUUAGAGGCGCCGGGGUGACUCAGUCGGUUAAGCAUCUGACUUUGGCUCAGGUCAUGAUGUCACAGUUCAUGAGUUUGAGCCCAGCAUU